GACGAUGUCUUGCAUUUGGAACCUACAAAAUUUUGAUUUGUCGUUUAAUAUUUAUUGAAUUAGUUGAUUCGCUGGGUGCAACGACCAAGAAAACAAAUAGAAAUAUGCAAUGAUGACAUUUCCAAGAAGUGAUGGCAUCUGGCGCUAAGGACAAAGAAUGGGAUUUUGCCACAGGGAUCUUAUUCUCCCACAUGUUCUGUCUGAAGGAGAAAGUUAUCUGAGGCCUUAUAUGAUGCAAAACUUUGGACUCAAAGAAAUUAAAUCACUUGCCCAAGGUUACAUAGCUGCCACCCAGGAGCUUACAAUUUAUGUGAGGAAACAGAUUGUAUACAUAUACAGAUAAUUAAAAAUAUAUAUGCCCCUGGCAAACACCAUUCUACUUUCCGUCUCUAUGAAUUUGACUACUCGAAGUACCUCAU
rnacentral:lncRNA from 10 species